rnacentral:lncRNA from 1 species
ACUAAAGAAAUUUCUAAUAGACAACGGAACAUCAACAUUAGAAGAACACAAAGAAAUCAAUAUAUUGAAAAUUAAUUUUCCUAGUACACACAUACAUUCGACAUAUAACACCCAAACAUACAAGAGAAAAUUAAAGUACAGCGAGAAAUUUGAGAGAAUAGGGAGUACGGAGGAAACUUACCCAAGACCUAUUUCCAAUCAAACUUCUCUUGUCCCCGGUAAACCUUGAAAUUCCACUGUUAUGCCUAUAGCAGGUAGAGAAAAGAGCAGAGAUCAAAUGCAACAACGAGAAUCAGAAAAUUACAACUUAAGGCACAAUGUCAUUAAAAGCAAAUAAUAUUAUUAUGAUACGAAACGAAAGAAACGAGCAUUACAAAACGCAACAUGAAGCUCAGAAACCAACAAAUAAAUCAAAGGAUUGAAAAUUAAUUCUCUAAUACAUAUUUGCAGUCAACAAACAACACCCAAAGAUAAAACAGAAGAAUAAAGAACAGUGCGAAAUGGAAGAUAAUAGGGAAUUUGAAAUAAACAUACUACAGAGGUAUCUCCGACGAAUCUUCUCAUGUCCCCGAGAAACCUGAAAAAUUCCACCCUUACGUUUAUAGAUGGUAGCGAAAGGAGUAGAGAUCAAAUGUAAAAACGAGAAGAAGAAAUUUACCUCUUAAGGAACAAUGUCGUUGAAUGGAAUUAAAAUUAUUUUCACACGAAACUAAAGAAAUUUCUAAUAGACAACGGAACAUCAACAUUAGAAGAAAACAAAGAAAUGAAUAUAGUGAAAAUUAAUUUUCCUAUUACACACAUACAUUCGACAUAUAACACCCAAACAUACAAGAGAAAAUUAAAGUACAGCGAGAAAUUUGAGAGAAUAGGGAAUACGGAGGAAACUUACCCAAGACCUAUUUCCAAUCAAACUUCUCUUGUCCCCGAUAAACCUUGAAAUUCCACUCUUACACCUAUAGAAUGUAGAG